AGGUGGGUGAGUGUAAAUGCACUAAGGCGCGCGAGAGAGACCUCUCUAAGGAACUCGGCACAUUAGCCUCGUAACUUCGGGAAAAGAGGUGCUCACUUCGGUGAGCCACAGUAAAUUGCGUUUAGCGACUGUUUAACAAAAACACAGCACUCUGCUAAGUCGUUAAGACGACGUAUAGGGUGUGACACGUGACCAAUGCGGAAAGAUUAAGGCAUUUUGUUAGCCGCAAGGCGAAGCUCGGUGCCAAAGUCCCCGUGAAUGUCGGCCGUAACUAUAACGGUCCUAAGGUAGCGAAAUUCCUUGUCGGGUAAGUUCCGACCUGCACGAAUCGUGUAACGACUGAACGACUGUCUCGGAGAGGAUCUCGGCGAAACUGUAACUGCGGUGAAGAUGCCGCAUGCCCGCAGUAGGACGGAAAGACCCUAUGCACCUUUACUGUAAGCUGGUAUUGUGUUCUGAUUAAUAAUGCGUAGCGUAGGUGGGAGGCUUUGAAGUGAGUGCUUCGGUGCUCAUGGAGCCGCAAUGUGAAACACCACUCUUUGCUAAUUAGGAUUCUAACCUCGAUUCCUGUCAACCAGGCGAGGGACAGUGCUUGCGGGUCAGUUUGACUGGGGCGGUUUCCUCCCAAAGAGUAACGGAGGAGCGCGAAGCUUGGCUCAGCACGGUUGGCAACCGUGCGUCGAGCGUAUGGGUAUAAGCCAGGUUAACUGUGAGACCUACAAGUCGAGCAGAUGCGAAAGCAGGCCCAAAUGAUCCGAUGGUUUAAUGUGGAAUUGCCAUCGCUCAACGGACAAAAGGUACGCCAGGGAUAACAGGCUGAUCGGUUCCAAGAGUUCACAUCGACGAACCGGUUUGGCACCUCGAUGUCGGCUCAUCGCAUCCUGGGGCUGGAGAAGGUCCCAAGGGUCCGGCUGUUCGCCGGUUAAAGCGGUACGCGAGCUGGGUUCAGAACGUCGUGAGACAGUUCGGUCCUUAUCCACUGUGGGCGCAGGAAUCUUGAGGGGUUCAUUCUCUAGUACGAGAGGACCGAGAAUGACGCACUUCUGGUGUGGCAGUUGUUCCAUCAGGGGCAUCGCUGCGUAGCCAUGUGCUGAAGAGAUAAGCGCUGAAAGCAUCUAAGUGCCAAGCUCAUCCCAAGAUAUGGAUUCCCGGACGCAAGUCCCUAAAGACCCCCGGCAGACUACCGGGUUGAUAGGUCAGGCAUGUAAGCGUCGCGAGACGUUUAGUGGACUGAUACUAAUUGGUCGUGCGGCUUGAUCGC
rnacentral:rRNA from 1 species